ensembl:lncRNA
GGGGGGGGCGCGCACAUGACACUUGUGGGAGGUGGGAACAAUCACAGACGACAGGACAAGGCAGGAAGUGAAGUUACCCAGGGAGACAAGCAGAAAACUACAAAAGACAGUAAAACCACAGUGACAUAAUUACAAUGAACCAAAAAUGAUAAGACAAACUGCCUAACCAAAGCUUUACGAAAUCACAAAAUAAGGAACAAAUUGACCGACAUAAUCCAAACAAAUAACUGUACGAGAGACAGGCCUUAAAAUAGGUCUUGACCCAGUUAGAGGCCAAAACAAAGCAAACCCAAACAGGGUAAACACAGCCGAAAAGGCAAGGCAGACCCAAAAAGGUUAAUUUAACCAAGACAAGGAAAAGCAAACCCGAACAGGGUUAGUUUAACCAAGGCAAAGCAAAGCAAGGCAGGGUUAAUUUAACAAAGACAAGGCAAAGCAGUAGUGGUCUCUGGCAGGUUAGCGGGUGUUGAGCUGAUCCUCAAUGAGCCUUGCCCUGCAGAGGAAAACAGACAUGAAAGCCUUACUAUGGUUCAGCCAAUUAGCGUGGGUCGGAGGGAUCGACGCGACCACGAGGAUUACCAGCGUGGACAUUGAGUGCAUCAGGUGGAGAAUAGUAUGCAGCCAUACCAGUGAGCUUCUGGGACACAAAAGGCACUUAAAUGAGCACUGGAUGGACAACGUGGGAGGGAAUACAGUUGCUGCUGACAGCCUACCUGUCACCACACGGCGCAGCUUGAAAGACGCCAGGCUGUGUCGUAACCCUAGCCUCUGGCAAAUGAAAUGCAGACAGGUGCUCUGAAGCCGCCUUUAUACCACAUUGUCAUGCAGCGAUUGGCUGUGAUCCAGACCCAGCUGAAAGUUAUUAGGACCAAUCACUGCAUACUGCCACAUAUGCAACAGACAAACAGCCUUGGGAACUUCACGUUUGUUAGCUUAGCACCAGAAGUUAGUUGAUGAUUAGCAAGGAGAUCAACAUUGAUUUGUGCGUCUCAUUCAUUCACUUUGCUCAUGACGUCCACCUGAAUGUUGCUCUUUGGCUAAAAGGUGCCUAAAUUGGUUGUGAAAGCUCGCAUUUCACAAAAGUUCUCAUUUGCGCCGAUCAACUGCGAGCUAAAAACUGAAAUGACGGUCCUGCAAAAUCUAACCGUUAUUUCACCGCACUGAUAUGAACGCUCAGGUCAAUUUAAAUGGGUAACAUUACAUUAUGGCUCAAUUCAGUACACCCCGUGACUCACUCCCAAUCAAUCAGAAUGCUUGAUUUCAUCUGCCCCGUAUUCUAAAAGAAUAUAUGAUACGGGAUAUGAAACAUAACCAGUAGUCCAAGUGAAAGCAGCCAGUUGAAUGGUGAAUUUAUGCUACUUUGUUGAAUUCAUAUAUUUGUGAAUCUGACUUUGAAAGAGUCAGUGCCUCCCAGCCACCAACCCCACCGCAGUCACUGAAUUAUAUGUGGGGUUAGGUAUUGCUAGAAUGUUUUAUAUCGUGUCAUACAUUUUUAUGAUUAUCCUAAUAAAAUGUACUAUGCAAAUUGCUAGCCACUUCGUGGUUGUCUCUUCUAUAAAACGUUAAUCUAACUGAUAACGCUCCUUCAUCAAUGAGGAAGAGCGCUGCCUUUUUUUCCGGGGGAGUGAUUAACUCCAGCAGCUCAGAUGAACGUGCGCCAGAGCAGGUUCAAGUUUUUUGAUGAGUUGCUAUGGUGAUUUAGACAAAUCUGCUUUGGGGAACCGAAAAGCCUGAUCUACAUCCUCUAAUCUGGAAAAUUAUCUGGCUAAAUCAGUUAGCCACGUAAGAGGAACUGGGCACAGGACAAUUCAAAGCCAUCAUUCAUUUAAUUAAUGUCAAAAUGUUCUCUUUAAAAAAUUGAAUACAAAAUAUACAUAAUUCCAUAGCCUCAAAUUAAACAGUAUCAUACAUCUUCAUAUAAAAAUGUAUAUAUACUUUUUUGGAAUUGUCGUAAAGCAAAGACUAAUGCUUUAUUACCCUGUGAAUCAGACAAAGGGAAGACGAUAAACCAGAUAUCUUUUUGUUGCACCGUUUCUGCUGUGGCUUUUUUGAAUGUAUCUCCAGGGACCUGAAGUGGACAUCGAAACAGGAAGAAAGCCCAGCUGAGGUUGGACUUCAGUAAAAAGUACAAAUUGUACGUAAUUGGCGCAAGAUAUACGGUACUCUACAGGCCCCUUCUACUGGACUUCUAUUUUAAAGCCUGAGCUGAACUGAUUCAUGAGCGUAUCACAAAUCUCCCGUCCACUCUUCUCCUCUCCAUCCUUCCCAGCUGUCAUGAAGGCAAGCCUAUGCUGCUGCUGGGUUCUUGUUUUUGGUUGUUGUUGUUGUUUAAUACACGUACAGACACACAAACGAUGAAUGUGUUUGACAAUUAGAUGGCUGAUAAAUGGACACAAUAGGCUGUGCUCCAUGUGUUUGUUUAUGCCAACUGUAUUAAUGCUUUAAUAUGCCACUAUUAAUAAGUACAGUGAUGCGUUCAUCCAUCGCCCCUUUUAUUAGUAUGAAACACUCACUGUGGGUGGAUGUGUGUUAUCGAACAACGGAUGUUUUCUUGUUUUUUGCCAGGAUGAAUAUACCUUGUGAAUCCUCAAGGCCGCAACUUCUUUUUCAACCCCACAAAGCCUUGAAAGGUUUUCACAAAGUUCCCCUUGACAAAUGAAUCAAUUAUUACAUUUUUAAACGAUGUAUCAUAUCAGCUAUUGAGUCAAAUGUGCCCGUGCUAUUUCCAACCAUGUUAAAGCAGAAUGUGUUAAUAACUUAAUCAAUGGACGCAUUAUAUUAAGGUUUCACCUCCAGGGCUCUGCUUUUAUGUAUGUAUGCUUGACUCACUGGUAUGGCUUCAACUCCAUUGUUAAACUCACCUGUGCUUUUACUGCUGUAACAAGUAAAAACGAAAGAGCCAUAGUUGGUUCAACUUUAGGACAGAUACACUACACAGCGCUAAUAAUGCAGUGCGGGGCAAGCAAGGAAUAAGCUCUGGUAAACCUGUGCAUACAAAUGAAUGAAGUAGGAUGACAUAGAAAGCACAUUAAAAAUCUGUUCUCCAAAAGAAUAAUUUCAAAAGACAUAUUGACUUUGCUUCACAGUUGAUCAGAUCACUUUUCCAAUGUACUUUGAAAGUGCUUGCAUGAUUUUCCACAAUUUGUAAUCUGAUUUAAAAUACACUACAUGUGAAGGAUGUAUUUAAAGUAGUGCCAUUAAACAAUUAAAAUAUUUAAUUACAUUUACGUCAUAGUUAACACAAAAUUAAUCACACCUUUUAUAUCUAUUCUAAAUGUCCCUACAUUUAUUUUAUUUCUAUAAUUUUUUUUCUUCAUUUUAAUGCUCCUUUCAACAUGGCUUGCUUUAUGCUAAUGUUUUAUUUUAUUGAAAAAAAACGUUUCCAAACAUGGCGGUACAAAAUAAAAUUAUAAACUGCCCAUUCCCGGUAAAGAUUUAGGGUUUUGUAUGUACUUGGAAAUGAUUUGCCUGAAAAAAACGAUUGACGAAUGAAUUUAAUAUACGAUCAUAUGUCGGUAUGCUGUCGUGCUGGUGGGAGUUUUCACUACAAGAUGAAGGAGGGGUGCUGGAUUAGUUUUCUUUUCUACAUGUUUUGUGAGUGACAUUUGUAGGACUGUCCCUCAAACAGGAUGAAGUAGCUGGGUCACAACAUCUAGAAGCAAAAAAAGUUAAUCUCAAGAGAAAAAAAAUUGACGCUGUUAGUAACGCGUUUAACUGACAGCACUAGUACUAAAAUCUAGGCUUUUUGAACAAAACCAUUACCACGGCGUGAACAUGUGACCGUUGGGGCCACUGAUUAUGUCUUUCAGUGGUCCACAUGAAGUAACAGAUUUUACAAUAAACAAAUAUACCAAACUGUUGAGUUGAGUUGCAGACCGAGCCCCUCUCUGGCUGGGAGGUAGGUUUAGGUGAGUCUCUCAGGCUGGAGGCGGAGAUUUUAAUGCACCAGGUGGAGAGGAUCUGGCGAUCAGGGGGGUUGGAGUCACUCACUCAC